UAGCGUAGGGGGCGAGCGUUGUCCGGAAUCAUUGGGCGUAAAGAGCUCGUAGGCGGUUCAGUAAGUCAGGUGUGAAAGCCCCCGGCUCAACUGGGGAGGGUCACUCGAUACUGAUCGACUCGAAGGCAGGAGAGGGUAGUGGAAUUCCCGGUGUAGUGGUGAAAUGCGUAGAUAUCGGGAGGAACACCAGUGGCGAAGGCGACUACCUGGCCUGUUCUUGACGCUGAGGCGGCGAAAGCUAGGGGAGCAAACGGG
rnacentral:rRNA from 1 species